UCUUUGCUUCUUCCUUUACACCACCCAAGCUAGGUGGCCUCACCAUGCAAAACAUAAGCACACUCACUCUCACAAAGUAUCCGCAAUUUCAGAACCUCCCUCUUCCCCACCUGUAUCUGCUAAUCUUUCAGAACCUACCUCUCCUCCACCUGAAGCUUCAAAUCUUUUAGAACCUCCCUCUCCUCCACCUGAAGCUUCAAAUCUUUUAGAACCUCCCUCUCCUCCACCUGAAGCUUCAAAUCUUUUAGAACCUC
rnacentral:misc_RNA from 1 species